UGUGCAUGUAGGCUUUCUUAGAUCCUCAAGAGUCGGCUGAAAAGUCGACUUGGUAUUUUGAAUGAGAAAUUCCUCAGAGAGAUACAAUGCUGCUUGAAACUUUACUGUAAACUCAAUAGCUUAAUACUUGUAUGAAUCACAUUACAUCAAGCUUAAAUGAAAUCUUUUGUGCAGGAUGAUAGUGUUAAAUGGAGAGCAUUGCAAGUUAUUUCAAGUUCACUUAGUAUUCACUUAUUAGGUUGUAUGUUUUCUUGGUCAUGGGAGAGAAGAAGAUGCCCAUGAAUUUUUGAGGUAUGCUAUUGAUACAAUGCAAUCUGUGUGCCUUAAGGAAGCUGGUGCAAAUGCAACGGACCCUUUGGAAGGGGAAACUACUCUUUUACAACUGAUUUUCAGGGGUUACCUUCAGUCUAAGGCCUUCUCCAGCCCUUCAGGUAGCUGAUUCAAGCCCAACAGCAGCAACAACAUCACUAAUACUUCCAGCCACUAUAGGAAGGGAUGUGCACAAGAUUAACAGCUCAUGACAUGUACCAGACUGCCUUAGAAGUGGCGCCGAAGGAAGCCCAGAUCCCUCUAAUGGCAUAUGGAAUACCAGGCCUGAAGAACUGUAUAUGCUAGGCCGAGUCGGGCAAGCAUCAGGAUGUGCAGGCCAAGCUAGUGGAAGAGAUUGCUCGGGUUAUGGGGGAUGGACGAGAAGACAUUGAAGAGGAGGAUUUGCAGCGGAUGUCAUAUAUAAAGGCAGCGAUCAUUCUAGAAAAGAUUAAGGAAUUGUUGGAUUAUAGAAGCCUAGAAAUGAAAUGUUGUAUUGAAAUUGGAAAUUGGAAUUGAAAUUGAAAUGUGUACUAGAAAAGAAAAAGAUUAUUAUGUGUGUGAA